AUAGAUUUUAAAUUUACAGUUUAGGGCAAGUCAUAAAUUUUGUGGAUGCCCCAGUUUUCUCCCCAUUUUCAGAUGGUAUUAAGAAUGCUUACCAGUCAACUCUUAAUAUUGAAUUGAAAUUAUUAAAAUAGCGGCUUAAAAAAGGGGUGUAGCUCAGUGGUAGAGCACUCACCUAGCAUGUGUGAGACCCUGGGUUUAGUUCCUAGCACACCAAAAAAAAAAAAAAAAAAGACCCAACAUCAAAAAAGGUGACUUAAUCCACAGCUGUUUGGCACCCUCUGAAAGGAAGUUGCUAAUGUUGCCAGAAUAAUGUGAAGUAUUUAGAAGUAUUAUCUUUUCUUGCCUAAUCACCAAUUUAGGCUUCCUGUUUGUACUUUGGAGAUAUCUGGUGUUUAUCAGGCUGAAUUAAAGGCUGACUCCAAUCAUGUGGAAGGAUGUGGAAACUAGGUGUGAGUUACUGUGCAUUGUUGGAUUUUAGAACAGUUUUCUUGACAGUUCUUUCUGCAGAGAGUUUGUAGAAAGAAGAGGAUGUUAGAUUCUUAAAAGUGCCUAUGAUUGGUCACUUAGAAUAUGUAGUAAUAUUACUGCCUGGAUAAAAGUCUUUUUAGCUACAUGACCAGAUACAGAGUUUGAUAAUAAUUUUUUCUUGCCUGUAAGUAUUGAUUCUUUUUUUUUUAUUGGUUGUUCAGGACAUUGUAAAGCUCUUGACAUAUCAUAUUUCAUACAUUAGAUUCAAGUGGGUUAUGAACUCCCAUUUUUACCCCAAAUACAGACUGCAGAAUCACAUCCGUUACACAUCCACAUUUUUACAUAAUGCCAUAUUAGUAAGUAUUGAUUCUACUGGAGAAUAUUUUAAAGUUUUUUUUUUCUAGAAGUUGUGGAUUUCUUUCUCUCUCUCUCUCUCUCUUUUUUUUUUUUUUUGAGAUAGUGUCUUCAUGUUUCCCAGGCUGGUUUUGAACUCCUGGGCUCAAGUGAUCAUUCUGUCUUAGUCUCUCAAGUGGCUGGGACUACAGGCAUGCACCACUUUAUCUGGCUCUUGAAUAUCAGUUUUGAUAAAUACAGUUUAAGUGGAGAAGUAUAUUCUGGUUUUUUAAUUCCAUUUGAGAGUUGAGAAGAGUCAUGUUUAUAGUUAUUCAGUCGUGUUUCUUGCUGGCUUGUAAAGCAAUAAAAAACUUUUUGGUCUUUUUUGUAACUUAGUGUGUUACUUUGAGAACUUUUCUGAAGGGAAAAGAAAUUCUGCAUAUUUUUUUGAGGCUGAAGAAGACAGGAAUGAUGAGUUGAUGCUGCUGUAUAAGGGUUAUGCUAACCUAAAGACCCCAGCCACUCCCAGUGCUUUACUGUAAAGUUCAGGUAACAUUUUUGUGAUCUACUCUGGUAGGGGAUUUGCAAGUAUUUGAGCUGAAGAUGUUGAAAAACCUUGGCUGUGGUUUUAGUACACCAGAUUUUUUUUUUUUCUUUUAACAGUACUAGAGAUUAAACCCAGGGCCUUGUGCAUGCUAAACGUAUUGUGUCACUGAGCUAUAUCCCAAUCUCCCAGAAUCACUUUUUCAAUUUUAGAAAAUAAUAUA
rnacentral:tRNA from 1 species